UACGUAGGCAGCGAGCGUUGUUCGGAGUUACUGGGCGUAAAGGGUGUGUAGGCGGUUCUCUAAGUUUGGUGUGAAAUCUCCCGGCUCAACCGGGAGGGUGCGCCGAAAACUGGAGGGCUAGAGUGCGGGAAGGGAGAGUAGAAUUCCUGGUGUAGCAGUGAAAUGCGUAGAUAUCAGGAGGAAUACCGGUGGUGCAGACGGCUCUCUGGACCGCGACUGACGCUGAGACACGAAAGCGUGGGUAGCAAACAGG
rnacentral:rRNA from 1 species